rnacentral:lncRNA from 1 species
ACCUGCCUCUGCCUCCCAGGUGCUGAGAUUAAGGGCAUGUACCACCACUGCCCAGAUAGAUUUAGUUCAAGUUUUCAAGAAGAAUAAAUAUUAUAUAUACUUCUUUUGGGUCUAAGAGUAAAAAUACUAUGUCUUCUAGAGGAGGACAAAGGGCAGAGGACAGAGGGAAGAAGCAGAGGGCAGAGGGCAGAGGCCAAGGGCAGAGGGUAGAGGCAGAGGGCAGAGGCAGGAGGCAGAGGCCAGAGGGCAGAGGCCAGAGGCCAGAGGGCAGAGGCAGAGAGGCAGAGAGGCAGAGGGCAGAGGAAGAGGCAGAGGCCAGAGGCAGAGAGGCAGAGGGCAGAGGGCAGAGGGGCAGAGGGCAGAGGCAGAGAGGCAGGCAGAGGGCAGAGGGCAGAGGCAGAGAGGCAGGCAGAGGGCAGAGGCAGAGAGGCAGAGGCAGAGGGCAGAGGCAGAGAGGCAGAGAGGCAGAGGGUAGAGGCAGAGGGCAGAAGAAGAGGCAGAGGGCAGAGGCAGAGGGCAGAGGCAGAGGGCAGAGAGGCAGAGGCAGAGAGGCAGAGGGCAGAGGCAGAGGGCAGAAGAAGAGGCAGAGGGCAGAGGCAGAGGGCAGAGGCAG